AUUCCGGUUGAUCCUGCCGGAGGCCAUUGCUAUCGGAGUCCGAUUUAGCCAUGCUAGUCGUGCGAGUUCAGACUCGCGGCACCGAGCUCAGUAACACGUGGCCAAACUGCCCUACAGAGACGGAUACCCUCGGGAAACUGAGGUUAACCCGUCAUACCGAUCUCAGGCUUGAAUCGCAGUGAUCACAAAACGCCCCGACGCAAUAGGAUGUGGCUGCGGUUGAUUAGGUAGACGGUGGGGUAACGGCCCACCGUGCCCAUAAUCAGUUCAGGUUGUGAGAGCAAGAACCUGGAGACGGAAUCUGAGUCAAGAUUCCGGGCCCUACGGGGCGCAGCAGGCGCGAAACCUUUACACUGCACGCACGUGCGAUAAGGGGACUCCGAGUGCGAGGGCAUAUCGUCCUCGCUUUCGUGUACCGUAGGGUGGUACACCAACAAGGGCUGGGCAAGACCGGUGCCAGCCGCCGCGGUAAUACCGGCAGCCCGAGUGAUGGCCGAUCUUAUUGGGCCU
rnacentral:rRNA from 1 species